ACUUCUUUCUUCUUUCUUCUUUCUUUUGUUCCUUUCUCAGGUUUGGUUUCUAGGGUUUUGAUUGAUUAUUAGGUAAUUCCAUAUUGUGAAAUUUUGGUGCGAAAGUUUCAAUUUUUAUUCUGUUAUGGUGAUGAUUAUAUUGUUGUGUGCAUCUGUCUUUACCCUCUCCAUGUUUGUGAAUUUGAAUGGCAAUGGGGAUAUAACUGAUGCACAGAUUCAAAAUGGUUGACUUACCAGCCCAUUGCACCUUGUUUUUCCAAUUGCCAUGGGUCAAAUGGAUCUACCAAAAUUUAAUUUUAUUCAAUUCAUUUCAUAUAUGUAUAUUGUUUGUUCAAAUUGGCAUGUGAUGAUUACUUGAUAAACCGCUUAUUGAUAUACUGAUUUUUUCAGUGUUGACAACAUACUUUUCUGAUGCCAUAUAUAUUUAGUUUGCUCAAUUUUAAUCUCAUGUUUUAAUUUGCUUUGUCUUUUGCAUUUUCUUAGUCAACUAUUCACCAGAAUAUGUUUCAGUUGAAAAUGAUAAACUCAGAUUCAGUUAACUUUACAUGGAGUUUCUACUUAGUUUAAAACUGUUAUAUGGUUUGAUAUGUUGAAUAAAAUACUUAAAAAUUUAUUUUUUAUGUAUUAUAGUUUGCAUGAAUAGCUACUUGUGAUUUGAUUCUGAAACAUAAAGAGUAUGGAUUGUGGAAUGGCAAAUGAUGUGAAAAUUGUCUUAUCCUACACACUGAAAAAAUGUUGUGAAGAUCAAAUACUCCGCUUAUUAUCUGAUGCCUUUCCUAUCUUACCAUUUGUUCCAUAUGAUUCAUCAUUUAAUCAUGGUUUAAUAUUGGCAUAUGAUUUUUGAGGUUUUCAUGUAUAAGUGUUCUUAAUACAAUGGUUAUUAGCAAAAUUAAUUGUUUGCAUUAAUCAAUGAUGAAGAAAAGCAGACGGGCGGACUGAACUGAUGCCUUGUUGAUUGUCUGCCAUUUCCAGCAUUGGAAUGUUUCUGAGAUUUUGAUAAUAAAAAUUAACAAUAUCUUUUAAGAUCUGCAUAAUUGUUCACUAUAUAUCCUUUUACUUAUUAAAUGAAGUAUCUUUUUUGAAAACUAAAAUUAUGGGUACAUCAAACAUUAGCUAUUGAUUCAUUUACUUUGUUUUUCAAUAUAAGUACAGGUGUUGUUUUAUACAUUUUUUAUGUGUAUAUUGUAUUUCAACAUGUAUUCUAUCCGAGUAAUUGAUUUGCGGCUGAAACAUGAUCGACACAUAGGAUGAUUGUUCCAAAAAUGAUUAUUAGUUUCUGCAGUGAUGAAGUUGCAUAAAUAUGUCUGGACAUAUGAAACUUUGUUAUGAUUUGAUCAUUUGCUACUUCUGAGCAGAAUAAUAUGUGCCUCCUUAGUUUGUUUAUGUAGUUCAUAAGUUUUUUCAGUUUACCAUGGUUGUGGAUAUAUUAUCAGAAGAAUAACAUCUUUAUUCAUAGUCACAAAAGCAUUUUUAAUUUUUGGACUAUGCCAAUUAUAUAAUUGUAGAAGAAAUAAUUAAUGACUGAAUUCACCUAUUAGCCCUCAACUUAUAGAAAGGAGCAAGUGCAAUUGACAAUGGAAAUGGUCUUUUCAAUUUUUUUAAAAAAUUUCUUGUAAAGUAUUAUUUCUCUUUAUUCAACAUCUUUUCCAAUGAUUUUUUUUUUGGUUCUGUUUAAAGAGGAUAGGGUAAAAAAUCACACUUUAUAAAAAGAUUGAGAGAAAAAUUAGAAAGAUUUAUUAUUGGGACUUAUUUGUUAACAUAGAGUAGUUCUCGCAUCUCUCUAUAUAUAAUAGGAGAGCAGUACUUGGUUAAUUGAUUGACUAAGUGUCAUGACCAGUUAAAUAACACGUGUCUAAGUAAAAUUACAUUGUGAACCAAAAAAGUGAAAUGUAAACAUUAAAACGUGAAAUAAUAGCUCUGAACAAGGUGGGUUCGAUAAAAGAAAGUUGAGAAGGAGAUUUUGGCUAUGAGCGGUUUCUUUCUCUUUUUGGGGUUGGAAUUCAAAUUUCAAACACAAAAUUUGAAUGAGUAUUCCAAAUCAGAAGUUAGUGAAUAAAUUUAAACUUAGGAUUUUAUAAUUCAAAUCAUUGAUUUGAAGGUCUCUCUCUUCGCUUCUUUCUUUCUUGGGCUCUCUCUAAAAGAAAAAAGAACGAGCUCACCGGUGAAGAUAGAGAAUGGGUGUGCUCAGUGUUGCGGGCUAGGAGAGAGCCUGUCGAAGGAAAAAGAAGACGAUGACAGAGGCUCCGAAUCUGUUUCAUGGAGUAGCAAAGAUGAUGAACAAUAAAUUUAAGGUGGCGGUGCCGGUGGCUGUUGGUGCAGCUGUAAGGAGAAAGAAUAGUGGCACGGUGAGUGGUGCUACUACCGUCAGAGAAGAAGGAACAGCUGGCAACAAGUUGACGACUUUAAGACUGGAGAGCUCGGUGGUGCAGCAGAGAUAAUGCCAUUAGAGUUCGGGAUGCAAUCAGAGGAAACGCCGGAGCUCUGGUGCAAUGUUCCGAUUCAUCCUCUCUCCAUCUUCACUACUCUCUGGCUGAGGGAAUAAACUGCAACAUCUUUUGUGGUUUUGGGAUCUUUUUUUUCAUUUUGGGAGAUUUCUGUGGUUAUUUGUUUAUGGCUUUGAGUAUUUUGUACGAUUGGAAGCUUUGAGAUUCGGGUAUGGAGAGUGUUGGUUUAGAAGAAGAUAAGAGGAAGGAGAACAAGAUCAAGUGCAAAAUGAAGACUGUGAAUUAAGCGAGUUCUGGAGAAAACUUAUGCUGGGGAGGCUUACCUUUCAGAAGCAGUGCAAGUGAGUUAUUCUGAGCAUACUUUCAAGUAUUG